UACGGAGGGUGCAAACGUUGCUCGGAAUUACUGGGCGUAAAGCGCGUGUAGGCGGGCCGACAAGUCAGAUGUGAAAUCCCUGGGCUCAACCCAGGAACUGCAUUUGAAACUGUUGGCCUUUGAGUGGUGGAGAGGGAAGCGGAAUUCCUGGUGUAGAGGUGAAAUUCGUAGAUAUCAGGAGGAACACCGGUGGCGAAGGCGACUUCCUGGACACCAACU
rnacentral:rRNA from 1 species